rnacentral:rRNA from 1 species
GCCUAGCCGUAAACAAUUAACUUACACUAAAAAGCGCCAGGGAAUUACGAGCAAUGCUUAAAACCCAAAGGAUUUGACGGUGUCCCACCCACCUAGAGGAGCCUGUUUUAUAAUCGAUGAUCCCCGCUAUACCUAACCAUUCCUAGCUUUUCAGUCUGUAUACCUCCGUCGAAAGCCUACCAUGUGAACGUUUUUAGUAGGCCAAAUGACCCCAUCAAUACGUCAGGUCAAGGUGCAGCUCACGGAAUGGAAAGUAAUGGGCUACAAUUUCUAAUCUAGAACAAACGAAAUACUGCAUGAAACUGCAGUCACGAAGGCGGAUUUAGUAGUAAAAAGAAAAUAGAGAGUUCUUUUUAACCUGGCUCUGGGACGCGUACACACCGCCCGUCACCCUCUUCGAUAACAAUUUUUUUAGUUCUUAACCCCUAUUUCUUCCCUAGAAGAGGCAAGUCGUAACAUGGUAAGUGUACUGGAAAGUGCACUUGGACUACA